rnacentral:rRNA from 1 species
AGAGUUUGAUCCUGGCUCAGGACGAACGCUGGCGGCGUGCUUAACACAUGCAAGUCGAGCGAGGCCCUCCUUCGGGGGGUGCCCUAGCGGCGAACGGGUGAGUAACACGUGGGCAACCUGCCCUCAGCUCUGGGAUAACUCCAAGAAAUUGGUGCUAAUACCGGAUGUGACCACUGACCGCAUGGUCUGGUGGUGGAAAGAUUCAUCGGCUGAGGAUGGGCCCGCGGCCUAUCAGCUUGUUGGUGGGGUAAUGGCCCACCAAGGCGACGACGGGUAGCCGGCCUGAGAGGGUGACCGGCCACACUGGGACUGAGACACGGCCCAGACUCCUACGGGAGGCAGCAGUGGGGAAUAUUGCGCAAUGGGCGAAAGCCUGACGCAGCGACGCCGCGUGAGGGAUGACGGCCUUCGGGUUGUAAACCUCUUUCAGUAGGGACGAAGCGAAAGUGACGGUACCUACAGAAGAAGCACCGGCCAACUACGUGCCAGCAGCCGCGGUAAUACGUAGGGUGCAAGCGUUGUCCGGAAUUAUUGGGCGUAAAGAGCUCGUAGGCGGUCUGUCACGUCGGCUGUGAAAACCCGAGGCUCAACCUCGGGCCUGCAGUCGAUACGGGCAAACUAGAGUACUGCAGGGGAGACUGGAAUUCCUGGUGUAGCGGUGAAAUGCGCAGAUAUCAGGAGGAACACCGGUGGCGAAGGCGGGUCUCUGGGCAGUAACUGACGCUGAGGAGCGAAAGCGUGGGGAGCGAACAGGAUUAGAUACCCUAGUAGUCC